AUAGUACUCCCUCCGUCCCAAAAUUCUUGUCGUAGAUUUGUCAAGAUACGGAUGUAUCUAACACUAAAACUUAACUAGAUACAUCCGUGUUUAGAAAAAUUUAAGACAAGAAUUUUGGGACGGGGGGAGUAGUUA
rfam:Triticum aestivum genome assembly, contig: Triticum_aestivum_CS42_TGACv1_scaffold_376411_5AL